rnacentral:tRNA from 1 species
GCGGCUGUGCUGGAAUUGGCAGACAGGCAAGCUUGAGGUGCUUGUGUCCGCAGGGCGUACGGGUUCGAGUCCCGUUGGCCGCACCA